UCCCAGUAUUCCCAGUGCUGCUCAGUAAACAGAUAAACAGGAUCAGUAGAGAAACUCACAUUCCCUUCAGCCGGAUCCACAUUCUCUCGGUCUGCUCGUUCCUGCCGUACUUCAUGGAAUUAUUCUCCAGCCCGUCCGUAUCGUUCACCAGAGAAUCCAUGGCUUCCAUCACCGCGUGUGUGUGUGUGUGUGUGUGUGUGUUUUCCUAUGCUGUAAGGGAGUCUGCAGGUAGCGGGUGGAGCAUGUGUGUGUGCUGGAGCUCCGUCCAGAGCUUCUGCCGCUCUCCCAGUCCGCACAGCAUCGGGCGGCUAGUGUGUGGGUGUGUGUGCGCGCGUGUGACCAUGUGUACGCUGCCACGGUGUGUGUGUGUGAGAGCGAGAGAGCGCGAGAAAGCGCAGAGCGAAGAUUCACAGCCUGAAGCACUGAGCACACACACACACACUACUGCUCUCCUGCGUACAAUACGGAAACACUCGCGCACCCUCUCUCACUCUCUCACUCUACCUCUCUCUACCUCUCUCUCUCAUUCUAUCUCUCUCUCUAACACACUUUCUUGUUCUAUCUCUCAUUCUACCUCUCUCUCGUUCUAUCUCUCUCUCUCUCUCCCACUCUCACUCUAUCUCACUCUACCUCUCGCUCUCUUCCACUCUCAUUUACCUCACACUGUCACUCUACCUCACUCUACCUCUCUCUCUCAUUCUCUCUCUCUCUCAUUCUCUCNCUCUCUCUCUCUCUCUUACACUCUCACUCUACCUCACUUUACCUCUCUCUCAUUCUCUCUCUACCUCUCUCACUCUAUCUCUCUCUCUCUUACACUCUCACUCUACCUCACUCUACCUCUCUCUCUCAUUCUAUCUCUCACUCUAACACACUUUCUUGUUCUAUCUCUCAUUCUACCUCUCUCUCGUUCUAUCUCUCACUCUACCUCUCUCUCUCUUACACUCUCACUCUACCUCACUCUACCUCUCUCUCAUUGUCUCUCACUCUACCUCACUCUACCUCUCUCUCUUACACUCUCACUCUACCUCUCUCUCUCAUUCUAUCUCUCUCUCUAACACACUUUCUUGUUCUAUCUCUCACUCUACCUCUCUCUCUUACACUCUCACUCUACCUCUCUCUCUCAUUCUAUCUCUCUCUCUAACACACUUUCUUGUUCUAUCUCUCACUCUACCUCUCUCUCCCUCACUUAUUCUACCGCACUCGACCUGACUCUCCCUCUACCUCACUCAUUCUACCUCAUUCUACUUCACUCUACCUCUCCAUCUCUCUCUCUCUCACUCUUAUUCAACCUCACUCAUUCUACCUCUCUCUCUCUCUCUCUCUCUCUCACACUCUCACUUUCACUCUACCUCCCCCUCCUCUCUCAGUCUACCUCACUUUCUUUCUCUUCUCACACUUAUCCUACCUCACUCUCUAAAUCUUG
rnacentral:lncRNA from 1 species